rnacentral:lncRNA from 1 species
CCAAAUCUGAUACCCGAAACGCUACACGAUACUCAUGAUCCCAAAGGACCACAAGCUAACCCAUGACUAAUAUUUGUACCUGAACACUGUAUAAUAUACUGUAUAAAUGCAAAAAUAAAGGCUAUAAGGCCAUAAGGUUCAAAACUGAUAAAAUAAUCUCUAAAUGAUAUGGUAUCAAAACACCAAAAAGAAAAACUUGAAAUAAACUAUCUGAACAUGAUAGUCUGAAAAGCCUCUAACUGAUUGAACUGUCUAAAUAAAGAGUUGAUGGGACAUGUCCCCAACUAACUCCAACUACAGAAAUAAAUUAAUUAAUGAGAUAAUAAAGUAAUGGUCAUGUCCUUGAAGGAUGAGGACUCACUGCCAACUCUGACUGCUGAGACUGGAAUACUACUGAUACUUUGGAGCUCGUGCUUCUGAACCUAUGGUAUAAAACACCAUAGCGCAAAUGCAUCAGUACGUUUGAAUGUACUGGUAUGCAUGUGAGGUAGGCUUAAUGCAAAAGGGUUCAUAUGCAUGAACUAUACUAACUGACUGCAUAACAUGAACGUGAGAAUACAUGCAUGAAUACAUAAUAACUAUAACUGAGUUCGUGAUAACAUGAUUACUGAGUUUGAGUACUGAUAACAUGAGAUACCGAUAGUUAUAUAACUGAAAUAACUGAUGCUGAGCGACUGUAUCUAACAGUCCAGGUUCUGAUGAAACUAGCUGAGUUCCAUGUUGUUCUAAGUUGACUGUAUCUGACAGUCCUGAAUUGUAUAGAACUAUCUGAGUUCUAUUACUGAGACUGAAUGAUUGUAUCUGACAGUCUAGAUUUUGUAACUGAAACUAUGGGAAGUAGUCAUCUAACCGACAUGCCCCAAUUAAAAAUCAACUGAAACUGCGGAAAGUAGUCAUUAACCCACAUGCCCCAAUUAAAGCAAUGUAGCUGAGUUGGGGUCCAAUCUGUAACCCCAAUUAGAAGGGUGUCAAUACCUCGCCACUGAUAAGAACAAGCUGUGGGUAACCCUCAUCUGAUAGUGUCCCAAAAGAGAACGGUCGGAUCCUUACCUGACAGUGUUUAUCCACCUUAUCAACCCUCAUCUGACAGUGUUGAUGUCUCAACCUAUGCUGGAUACAUAGUUCUGGAACGCAAGAAUGACUUCUAAGAAUCACAUCCUCAUCUAACAGUGAGUGUUCCCAUCCUUGGGUUCACUCGGUGCUACUUCCUACUCCCCAUCUGAAUAGACACUGAACAUGGAUUACUAAACUGAACUAGACUGAAUUAACUGAGUUUCAUUGACUGACGGAAUACUACUGAGAUUACUGAAUUUCUAAGAUUACUGGGUUUACUGAGUUUUUCUGAGUCACAUGACUGACUGAAUUUCUAUGAACAUGGCUCGACUGUGAGUAUCUUGAAAACAUGACACUGACUCUAGGCACACAGCUAAUUUUCGGGUACAAGUACUCCCAGGACUCGAUAGCAUGAAACUGACAAAGCAUGACUUUCUUGAAUACAUGACCAACAUCAUAAUCCUUAAUACAAUAAGAUGGAGAUUUCAAGAAGUAGAAGUUCUAAAGCACCACAAGGCUACACAUGUAUCCAUAAUUCAUUGACUAAGACAUUUCAUCAAACAUUUGACAUGCAUAAACUUGUACAUGAUUGGGGAUUUCAUAUUAUCAUACUAGUAUGGCACUUUUCCUUCACAUAGGCAUUUAAUCAAACACAUGGGGAGAAUGCUUUGGUUAUACAACCAUCAACACAUCUAAUAAUCCUGGAUACAUUAAUCAACGUGUAAAUUUAAAGGUUUAUCAUGAUUAUUAUGCAAAUCACCACAUCCUAGGGUUAAUCAUUGGAAUAUGUAAUUUCAAACAUGAAUCAAAACCCCACAACAUCAUGAACAUAAAUUUCAAUUCAAUUUAAAUCAUGAACAUUCAUACAUACAAAAAUCUUGGAUUUUAAAAAGAGAUUCUUGAUUCAAAUCAUGUACAAGUUUAUGGGUGAAAGGGACCCAUGAAUAAACACAUAACAUACCUGGGUUAUAAGUUUCUUGAAGUUCUUGGACUUGAAGAACUUAAAUCUCUUAGUUUCUUAAAGAAGAUUUGGAUCUUGUUUCUUGGGAAUUAUCUUUGAGAGAAAACCUUAAUUUGAUGUUGUAGAUGGAUAAUGAACUUAUGAGCCUUGGUCUGAUAUAAUUAGGGGUUAAAACGGGUGGAAAAAGAUCCAAAUACCCUUUUAAAAAUGACUUAAAAAUAACGGAAUGAACUAUGCGACGGUUUGUCGCUAGGUCGAUGGUCCGUCGGUCCUAACCGUCGCACCUGAGCAGAAUAGGGGUUCACUGUCUAUGCUGCGAUGGCUUGGGCGACGGUCCGCCACUAGCUCGAUUGUCCGUUGGCCUGAGUCAUCGCCCUUAGGCAGAAGGUGGUCUCACUGCCUCCACUGCAAUGGCUUGGGCGACGGUCCAUCGCUAGCUCAACGGUCCGUCGGCCCUCAGCGUCGCACCUGGGCAGUUUUCACUGUUUUCUGUAAAAUGGCCAUAACUUUCUACCCCGAUACCAGUUUUUGACGAAUUUGAUAUCGUUGGAAUGCUAAUUCAAUUUUCCACAUGAAAAAAAGUGAAUCUUAAAAAUUCUACGUACAUAAAAGUGGAUUCAUCUUUCAAAGUAAGUUUCUAACAUACUUUGGAUGAUUUCAAGCUAGGUAGAAGUACGAGGUAUUACAAUAUCUCCCCCUUGAGAACACUCAUCCUCGAAUGAGACUGAGUGAGAGGGGAGAAGAUAAACUGACAUACAUACUGAACAUGAAUAACUGAAACAUGAUCUCAUGACUAACAUGACUGACAACUGAAUAUAUAUAUCAUACUGAACAUGCAUAUCUGAUGCAUGAGUAACUGAUUUAUGAAUGCAUGACUAAAUUACUGAUAAGAUGAGUUUCUCAUCAAACUGAACACGCAUAUCUGAUACAUGAUUAUAUGACUGAAUUGGUGCAUAAAUGCAUGACUGAAUAUGCAAUGGUAUUUAAUACCAAGUUUAUAAAGAAAUUCUGAACAUGAAAUGGAUACCAAGCUUGUAACUGAAAUCUGAACAUAAAACUGAAAAGCUUAAGGAGAACUGUUGCCUUGAGUUAGACCUGAGUUGGUAGAGAAGAGGUGAGGAUACUUGGUAUGCAUGUCUGCUUCUGCUUGCCAAGUAUCUCCCUCAACGGACUGAUUUCGCCAAAGAACUUUGACUAGAGAGGCUUCUUUGUUCCUCAGUCUAUGAAUCUGCUAGUCUAGAAUUUUGAUCGAAAUCUCUUCGUAAGAGAGGCUGUUCUAAAAAUUUAAGAUCUAAAUAGGGACUAUAACUGUUGGGUUACCUAUGCACUUCUUGAGCAAAGAGACAUGAAAGACUGGAUGAACUAAGGCUAGAUCUGAAGGCAAUUCGAGCUCAUAAGCUACCUUGCCAAAACAACUGAGAAUUUUGAAAGGACCAACAUAUCGGGGACUGAGCUUUCCCUUCUUGCCAAACCUCUUCACUCCCUUCCUGGGAGAGAUCUUUAAAUAGACAUAAUCACCAAUCUCAAACUCAAGAUCCUUUCUGCGCACAUCCGCAUAAGACUUCUGUCGGGUCUGAGCAGCCCGGAGUUUUUAUCUAAUCAACUGAACUUUUUCUAAGGUAUCAAAUACUAAGUCAGGCCCUAUAACUGAGGCCUAACUAACUUCGAAUAAACCAACUGGAGAUCUACAUCUCCUACCAUAAAGAGCUUUGAAUGGAACCAUCUUAAUACUAGAAUGAUAGUUGUUGUAUGCAAACUCAAUCAAAGGCAAGUGGUCAUCCCAACUACCCUUGAAAUCAAUUACACACACUCGCAGCAUAUCUUCUAAAGUUUGAAUGGUCCUUUCUACUUGACCAUCUAUCUGAGGAUGAAAGGCGGUACUGAGAUGAACUUGAUUACCAAGACCCUUUUGGAAUGUUUUCCAAAAAUGAGAGGUGAAUUGGGUACCUCUGUCUGAUAUAAUAGAUAACGGAACACCGUGCAAUCUGACCAACUCUCUGAUGUAAAGUUUGAUGUAAUCCUUGGCUGAAUAAGAGGUAUGGACUGGAAGGAAAUGAGCUGAUUUGGUCAUCCUAUAUACAAUGACCCAAACUAAAUCAUGUUGGCGACGAGUACGAGGCAACCCGUCACAAAAUCCAUGUUCACUUCUUCCCACUUCCAAGUAGGAAUACAGAACUCCUGUAUGGACCCGUUACGCUUCUGAUGCUCUAUCUUAACUUGCUGACAUGUAGAGCACUUACCCACAAACUCUGCAAUAUCUCUUUUCAUCCCACUCCACCAAUAGAUCUCCCACAAGUCGCGAUACAUCUUUAUGGACCCUGGAUGAAUAGAGUAGCACGCACCAUGCGCUUCUACAACAAUUCGUUGUCUUAAGUCAUCUACACCUGGAACACACAAACGACCCUGACAACGCAAAAUACAAUCUCCCCCUUGGGAGAAAACCUCUACUUUUUUAUCCUUGACUAACUCCUUUAACUUGACAAGGCUGGGAUCUCUAUCUUGCUUUUCUUUCACCUCAAAAACUAGAGAUGAUUUUGAGCUACUCUGAACCCAUAUAUCACCCUUUUCUGUAUCGACUAAGCGAACGCCUAGUCUGGCAAACUGAUGCACUUCUUGAGCUAACUUUUUACUACUAUCCUCAACAUGAACAACACUACUCAUAGACAGUCUAUAGACAGUCUACUGAGAGCAUCGGCCACCACAUUGGCCUUGCCCGAAUGAUUAAGGACACUCGUUUCAUAAUCUUUCAAGAGCUCUAACCACCUUCUCUCACAAAGAUCUUUUUAAGAUCUUUCUGAGAAAAGACAUACUGAAGGCUCUUAUGAUCUAUGAACAUAUCUACAUGAACACCGUACAAAUAAUGCCUCCAAAUCUUCAAGGCAAAUACUACGGCUGCUAACUCAAGAUCAUGAGUAGGAUAAUUCUUCUCAUGAGGUUUAAGCUGUCUAGAGGCGUAGGGUAUGACCUUAUCAUGCUACAUGAGGACAUAACCCAAACCUACUUUGGAUGCAUCACAAUACACUACGAACCCAUCUGAACCCUCUAGAAGAGCUAGGACUAGAACUGAGGUGAGUCGAGUCUUCAACUCCUGAAAACUCUUCUCGCAAGGAUCUGACCACUGAAACUUGACUUUUUUCUGAGUCAAUUUAGACAUAGGGGAUGCAAUAGAAGAAAAUCCCUCAACAAACCGUCUGUAAUAGCUAGUCAAACCUAAGAAACUCAUGACAUCUGAUGAAGAGACAAGUCCGGGCCAGUUUCUUACUACUUCGGUCUUUUGAGGAUCAACUCUAAUGUCAUCACCAGAAAUGAUAUAACCAAGGAAUGUUACUGACCUUAGCCAAAAUUCUCACUUACUAAAUUUGGCGAACAACUAAUGAUCUCUGAAAGUAUGAAGCACGAUUCUGAGAUGGUCUGCACGAUCAUGCUCACUGCGAGAAUAGACAAGAAUGUCAUCUAUGAAGACGGUGGCGAACAUGUCCAAGUACUGCUUGAACACACGAUUAAUCAAGUCCAUAAAAUCUGCUGGGGCAUUGGUAAGACCAAAGGACAUGACCAGAAACUCGAAGUGACCAUACCGAGUACGAAAAGCUAUUUUCAGAAUGUCACAUUCUCUGACUCUGAGCUGAUGAUAGCCUGAUUUGAGGUCUAUCUUAGAAAAAUAGCUAGCACCCUGAAGUUGAUUGAAAGAGUCAUCGAUUCUGGGAAGAGAAUGCGUGUUCUUGACCGUGACUUUAUUGAGAUGACGGUAAUCAAUGCACAUUCUAAGAGAACUGUCUUUCUUGCGCACGAAUAAGACUAGUGCACCCCAUGGGGACACACUGGGUCUAAUAAAGCUAUUAUCUAAGAGAUCCUUGAACUGCUCCUUCAAUUCUCUGAGUUUUAUUGGUGCCAUUCUGUAUGGCAGAAUAGAUAUAGGCUGAGUAUCUAGAAGAAGAUCAAUGCCGAAGUCUAUUUCCCUUUCGGGAGCAAUUCCUGUAAGAUCUUCGAGGAAGAUAUCUGAAUAUUCAUUUACGACUGAGGCUGAUUUGAGAUUGGGAGUUUCAAAACUAAUGUCCUUAACUCGAACAAGAUGAUAAACACAUUCUUUUAGAUAUCAUUUUUCAUGCCCGAAAGGAGGAAAUAAGCUGACCUCUUAAAGCUGAAGUACUACCCCUCCACUCUAGGAUAGGUUCAUUCAGAAACUGAAACUGGACUAUUCUGUUUCUGCAGUCGACUGUGGCAUAGCAGGAAAGCCAAUCCACGUCGAGAAUGACAUCAAAAUCAGUCAUCUCUAACUCGACUAAAUCUGCUGAGAUGAUUUUCUGAAAUAUCAUGACCAGGCAGUUCCUAAAUACCCACCGGGCUAUGAUGGUUUUUUCCACUGGGGUAGACACUGAGAAGGGAUCAACUGGAAUUUUGGGACUGGCUCUGAAAUCAAUUGCUAUAUAGGGAGUAACAAAAGACAAAGAAACUCCUGAAUCUAGCAAAGCAUAAACAUGCACAUGAAAGAUCUAUUACGUACCAGUAACCACAUCAAAAGAAUUUUCCUAAUCUUGACAGGACUGAAGAGCAUAAAAUCGAUUUGGGCGUUGCCCACUAGUAGCAUUGGAAGUGGCAUCCUGCUGGUUUGGGCGACCGAACUGAGCUGGCGAACGGUUCUGCUGACCCUGAUAACCUGACUGGGGACAAUCUCUGACUCUGUGUCCUGGCUUUCCACAUUCGAAAUAGACAUUACUACCAACUCUGCAAACACUCUUGUGGUUCUUAGCAUAAGUCUGACAAGGGGAAUUAGUUUGGGCAUUGCUGACACUGCCCCGAGACUUAGAGCUUGGAGCCCUAUCUCUAUUACCAUCCCUGAACUUAGGAGCUGGAGAACUGGCUGAAGAACAAAAUUGAGAAAGGUUUUCUCCUUCUGAUUUGGGCUGAGCAAAGUUGAAAUGCCCUAUCCUUACUCUUUUAUUCUGCUUCUCCCUCAUCUUAAUCUUUUGCUUCUCUAUCUGCAGAGCAUGAGUCAUAAGCCUGGCUAAAGUCAUGUCACUAUUCAACAUCGCAGACUUACACUCGUUGACCACACUAUCGUUCACCCCAAAGACAAACUUACUUAUCUUGGACCUACUGUCUGAAACCACAUGAGGGGCAUAUCUAGCUAAUUGAGUAAACUUAAGAGAAUACUCUCUCACCGUUAUGUUGCUCUGCAUGAGGUUGAUGAAUUCUAACACCUUAGCCUCUCUCAGCUCUUAGGGAAAGGAU